CGCCGAGCCACGAGAACCUAACAGCAGGGCCAGCAAUUAGGAUUCCAAAGGCCCGAGUCACCAUAGCAACGUGAUUUGUCUGGCAGUCACGGCGUCCAGCUCGGAUCUCAAGAAACUACCAGUUCAACGAGAGCGAUACGGAUAGAAUGUGGCGCGCACUGCGCAUGGACUCCCCGGUGGUCCCGAAGACUUCUGGGAGUUGUAGGCGCAACCCUGCAGGCCGAGCGAGACGGUCUAGUGCCGCGGCUCGUGGGAACUACAUUUUCCGACGCACCCCACGACCUCCAGACCCCGCCUCUUCCCCGCCCCGUCGGACCCCGCCCCGCCUCUCGCCUGGCGCUGCCAGUGGUGGUCUAGCGGACACCCGGCCGGACGGAGGCGCCCUGCGGUCGCGCCCUUUGACUUGACCUCGUUAGCUCGGGACGGCUAGGGCUCUGGCGCCACAGCCAGCCCAUUCUAACCCCUGUCUGGGCUUGCCUGGCCCAAAUCAGGCAAAGAAGAUUCAGCGGCAUCCGCCUUCUCCACGCAGAGCAGCUGCUUUCUGGGAGCCGGUGACGGGAGUUAAACCCUGUGUUGGUGGUGUUCCGCAGUCCUCGCGCGCGCGGCGACGUGGGCCGCAACCUGGAGGGCUCCGCGCGUCCUCACUGUCGGUUCAGCCCUUCGCUGCCCUUCUCCGCUAACGGAGCCCGGGACGGAGCAGCGUGGUCGGCAGAGCUGACGGGAGCCCCAAGGCUGUCACGACGACGGCGGUGUGACAGAGUCGGGGAUGUCGCCAGCGCCUGGCUGUCGCCCUGCCGAGCUUUUGUUCCUCCCCAGCGACUUCCCGCCCUGUGGCUCCCAGGGUUAGGGUUAGGGUUAGGGUUGUAAAUUUUUUAUUUAAAAGUAAGUAAAAGAUGUAUAGUACAAUUCUGACCGGAAAGAUUUUGUUGUUAAUACCCAGAAGUGCUUUGUUGCAAUAUGCAUUUAUUCACUGAAUACCAGAUAUCGUGAAAAUUAAUGUUGACAGCAAAUCUCCAGGUGUCUCCACUGAGGUGGGGGGCAUUUAUUCAAGUUGUAUAUGUGCACUAAAUUAUAAUGGCAUUUGAUAUGGCCCAAUCACAUUUAAGAACAAACGCGCACCUCCGUUUCCUUUAGCAAAAUCUCUCCACAUCUUCUUGGGGAAUUAAGGUUCCCAAUUAAGAUUUCAAACAACUCCCCACCUAAUUAUUAAUGGAAAUCUUAGCACACAUAACUUUUUCUGCAACACAAAUUUAGGUUCAAAUGAACGUUAUUGGUGGAACUAAUUGAGUUCAAGGGGGGAAAAUCCUUUGUUUUGCUGACAGAGAUGUUUUAGCGCCGAAUUCUGGUUUUCUUUUAGCAAGCUUACUCUUUUACAGUCCAGACCCAUUUUCCUCCAUACAAGAAAGAUAACUUUGAAUGUUGCUCUUCCUGUUUCAAGCUACUUUGUCCGUUUAAAAUACUGUCUUAAACGGAACCCAGAAGAUACAAAUGUUCUUUUGCCCAUCGCAUCAAGGGUACAAACAGCGAUACUGUAGCUAAUGGAUAGACAAUGUACCGCACAGUUCGUUGUGGAAAAAUAUUCUGUUUCCUCAAGAAACUUGACUGAGAUGAGUCAAAGGCUCUCCUGGUUUUAUAACUCUGUAAACAUGGAUGGAAAGAUGGAAAAAAGAUGGAAACAUAAUCAGUAAGCCUGAAAUUUAUUGACUCAGUAAACUCAAUGUGAAGCCUUUCUUUAAGGCAGGGCUUAUUCUCAUAGUUAAAAGAUGUUAUGGAGAUACACUCUGAGGGCUAUUUAAUAGCAGAAAUUACCAUGUAACAAACUCUCUUGGCUCUCUCAGCAAUAAAGGAAAGGAUAAGGUUCAGGUCUGCCUGAACAACAACAAAAAAUUUAUUCUGUAUAAUAGUAUUAUAGAGGUGUGCCAUGUGACAUAGCUCAUCUUCACACAUAAAGGACAGGGGUGGUCUGUAAGCACAGCAACCUGUGGGUGUGCACAUAAGCCAUUCUAUCAAACAGACAUAAAUAUACAUGAUAGGUACAGAGAGAAGGCAUUGUGUCGUUUUUUCUCUAAGUGGUGGGGGAUUUGAAUUAAUCCCUGCACACUGUUUCAUUGGUAACCAAGGGAAACAAAGAUGGCUCUUUAGUAUCAGAAAUUCAGACUGUGGAAAUGGGACUUUAAACAUUUCGGUGGAGGCAGAAAGGAACUCACACACACUCAUCACUGUGUAUAUUUUUAUUUCUUUGUAGGUGACCAACUCAUUGCAUAAACCAUCAAAAAUACCCAGUCGGUCUGGUUUAAUUUAUAUUUUUAGCUAAAAGAGAUUCUUUGCUUUUUUCCUUUUGUUCUUAAGUGACUUUGGCUCUAGGCUAGGGAUUUAGCUCAGCGGCAUAAGUGCCUGCCUUGCAAGCAGGCAGUCAUGAGUUUGAUCCCUGAUACCGAUAAAAAGACAAAAAAAAAAGACUUUGGCUGUUGUGGAAUUAUCUUUUUUUUUUCUCUCUCUCUUUUUCCUUUUUAUCGGUACCAGGAUUGAACUCACAACUGCCUGCUUGGAAAGCAGGCGCUAAUGCCGCUGAGCUAAAUCCCCAGCCUAUUGUGGAAUUAUCUUAUAAAAGGUCCUGCCUCAUCCAAUAAUCAUGGCCUAUUAAUUGGGAACCUGCAUGGCUUUUAAGAAUAGAUCCUCCAGACAGGUGGGGAGCAGAGAGCAAAUGAGGACUGUUUCUGAUCUUUCAAAAUAACUUCUCUUAGUCCUGCCACAAGGUUUACACUAGAGAUGAGAUUUUAGUUAAGAAAGGAGAUGAGACAUCAACAGGAUAAAAAUUCAAGUUUAUAUUCUUACUUAUGUUUUCAUGUUUAGUUUUUGGCAAUAUAGUUGUGUGUGAGCCCGGGUUUGAGAAUGUGUCAUUUUACCACUUUGAGCCAUAUUACUUUUACAUAUUGCUUAUAUCUGUAGCUUAUUCUCUUUAAGUCUCAUUCCUCUCAUUUGUAAAAUGGGAUCGACAGUAAUACUUCACACAAGGAUUAAAUCAGAUAAAACAUGUAAACAUACUUUUCAUACUGAAAAGAACUACACAAAUAUUACUUCUUUUUAGCAUUUAUAAUUUUCCAUUAAGUUUGCCUCAGAAAUGGUAGGCCUGACUUUUGAACAAGUUAAAAGCCUAUUUUAUAUAUAGAUAUAGAUAUAGAUAUUUAUCUGGGGAUUGAACACCAGGGUUUUAUACCUUAAACAUGGGCUCUACUGUUAAGCUACAUCUCCAGCCCCCAAAAUUCUUACUUUUAACAAGAGACUAUUAGAAAUUAUGUGGUGUGUUCAUAUUAUCUUUCUCCAAUUUGUAAGCAGGAAGAACCAACUUUAAAGGAAAAAAUGACAAAUCCAGAGUUGAACAUGGCUAGUCUCAGAUUCACAAGGUCUCUACCCACUGUACCACGAUGGGCACUGUUCUUGGUGGCACAGCAAGCCCUUUCCAGCUUCCCAGCUGGAAAAGACUACAUAGGUUGCAGAUAAAAAGAAGGGAAGCCAAGGUAUUUAUCCAUGCCCUGCCCUGGGUGAUGUUUAUGACAGUAAGGGCAGCUUUGCCUGUUGGACUGGUCUGUCAUGGUUCCAACUAUAUUAACAGUAACUUUUCCCUUUGUCCCUGCAACCUGAGGGUAGAGGUACCUUCCUGCUGUUACUAAUGCUUGAGUUGCAAGUUUGGCUUCCCAAGUCAUCUGUCAUCAGUGUGGCCAAAUCCCUAUACCAUUUAACCUCUAUUUUAGAGACUCAGAAUAAUUUGUUUUCUUAGUGAAGCACCUUGAUCUACUUAUGCCUUAAAGACUUUUAGGGGCAGAAAACAGAAACUUUGUCUGGCCAGUUUAAGCAAAAUGAAGAAAGAAUGUAGUUAAAUUUAUUUAAAGGAUUAAACCAACAAGGUUUAGGAAGAACAGGAACCUGACUGAUUGGGACCUUUGAAAUGGUUUGUAGGCCUUCUGCAAAGAGGUGGUUGCUCUCACCUCUUUGCUACUUUGUUCCAAAUUUUAAUUCCUAAGAGACACUGUCUCAGGCUAACUAUCCCUGACUUAAUUAUCUGUGGUGCUUGAAGGUAGAUUUUCAGAACAGCAGCCUUGACAUCCCCUAAGAAUUGGUUAGAAAUGCAAAUAUUGGGCCACACCCACACAACAAGUAGAAAAGAAACUUUAGGGAUGGGUCCCACAAUUUGAAUUGUAGUCAGUCUUUAUCUGCUAGACUGGUGAAAGAUUAUGAGCCUUGAUAAUACCAAAGACUUUGAAAAGGUGUCCUGUCUCGGGGAUUGAUCACCCUGGGCCCUGCUCUAUGCAGCUGAGUCUUGUCAGAGAGGAGAAGCACCAUAAACCUAGCAGUGACAUCAUGUGGUGCAAAGUGGGUAAACUGUCUGAGUCUUUAUGGUAAAAUUUUGCUGUUUUGAGUAUUUUUUUAUGUUCAACACCAUUCAGUCAAUUUCAAUUACAGUUUGUCACUGCAAAGGCAUUUAGGAAAAGUUCAUUUCAUUGGAUUUUACUGCAAACUCAGAAUUACUGAAAGACAAGGCAAAAGAGACAGAAUCAUAGAAAAAUACAAAAUACAUGUAGUAGUAGGGCCAAGUAAGACAGAUGUGCAAAUUGGAUGUAGCCACUCAAAGCUCUCCACACAUCACAGAUAGCCUCUGGACUUUGAGAAACAGCACCUCUGUUUCUUAAGACUUUGCUACUUCUGUAUCAGCUUCUUCAUUACUGGCUUAUCUUUCAUCGGUCUGGGAGAUCUGCUUUGUAUACUUCUGUAACCACAGGCACCAUUUGCUUGCUUAUAUUAUUUAAAAUUUAAUAAAAUGUUAAAAUCCAA